CCCUUAGAUGUUCUGGGCCGCACGCGCGCUACACUGAUGCAUUCAACGAGUCUAAAACCUGCUCUGAUAGGGGUGGGUAAUCUUUUGAAUGUGCAUCGUGAUUGGGAUAGAUGAUUGCAAUUUUUCAUCUUCAACGAGGAAUGCCUAGUAAACGCAAGUCAUCAGCUUGCAUUGAUUACGUCCCUGCCCUUUGUACACACCGCCCGUCGCUCCUACCGAUUGAAUGAUCCGAUGAAUAUCAUGGAUUGAGGAUGCAAGUAGGUUCGCCUAUCUUCAUCUUCGAGAAGUGAAGUAAAUCUUAUCAUUUAGAGGAAGGAGAAGUCGUAAUA
rnacentral:rRNA from 1 species